ACCAGCCGCAACAGUCACCACUGCAGAGAAGUGGAGUAGGCAAAAAAAACCCAGACAGACUCCUUGACAGUUUGCUGCUGGACUUGCAGGUUGCAGCGUUUGGAGAGAGAGAUGUAGUUGCUUCUUCUUUAAAAAAGGGAUUAGAAGGGUGAGCCAGUUGGCGGACAACUAUCGCCACAAUCAGGCUGGCACUGAAGCACUCUGCAUGUGAAGACCGGAUCAUCCUGGCACUACUGUGGAGGAGCUGCAGAUCAGCGGUACAGCACAUGCUUUUGCACAUGGAAGGUCCAAGGUCCAGUUCCUGGCAUCUACAGUUAAAAGGGAUCCUGGAUAGGAAGGGUGUGAAAGACUGACCGCUGCUAGUCAGAGCAGAUGAUACUAGGGGCAUCUGCAGUAGAACCAUCUUGACCCGAGGUGAGAGGAGAAGAAGCAGUAGCAGAUUCUUCUUAAACAAGCUAUCUUUUCCAUUUUAUUGUAACUUUUAAAAAAAUCACUGCUUGUCAUCGUAAUAAACUUAUGUAAACUGCUUUGUG